rnacentral:rRNA from 1 species
AACGAACGCUGGCGGCAUGCCUAACACAUGCAAGUCGAACGAGACCUUCGGGUCUAGUGGCGCACGGGUGCGUAACGCGUGGGAAUCUGCCCUUGGGUUCGGAAUAACAGUUGGAAACGACUGCUAAUACCGGAUGAUGACGUAAGUCCAAAGAUUUAUCGCCCAGGGAUGAGCCCGCGUAGGAUUAGCUAGUUGGUGGGGUAAAGGCCUACCAAGGCGACGAUCCUUAGCUGGUCUGAGAGGAUGAUCAGCCACACUGGGACUGAGACACGGCCCAGACUCCUACGGAAGGCAGCAGUGGGGAAUAUUGGACAAUGGGCGAAAGCCUGAUCCAGCAAUGCCGCGUGAGUGAUGAAGGCCUUAGGGUUGUAAAGCUCUUUUACCCGGGAUGAUAAUGACAGUACCGGGAGAAUAAGCCCCGGCUAACUCCGU